UACGUAGGGCGCAAGCGUUGUCCGGAAUUAUUGGGCGUAAAGAGCUCGUAGGCGGCUUGUCACGUCGGGUGUGAAAGCCCGGGGCUUAACCUCGGGUCUGCAGUCGAUACGGGCUAGCUAGAGUGUGGUAGGGGAGAUCGGAAUUCCUGGUGUAGCGGUGAAAUGCGCAGAUAUCAGGAGGAACACCGGUGGCGAAGGCGGAUCUCUGGGCCAUUACUGACGCUGAGGAGCGAAAGCGUGGGGAGCGAACAGG
rnacentral:rRNA from 1 species